ACGCAGUAGUUUACUUUUAGGUGAUCUCUUAACAACGUGGCCAGACACAAUCAGUAAAGUCAUGUUGGCUCUUCUCAUUAUCUCUCUUGUAAUUGUUGGACACCUGUCUGCCCCUGUGCUGAGGAGCAGAGCUGAUGAAAGCACAGCGGAGCUGGAGCUGCUCUUUGACCCCGGCCUCCUCAAACAGCAUGUCAGCCUGACUGGUGAUUAUGGUGAGAGGCCCCUCUUCCCCCCUCUGCCAGCUGAUACUGAAGAUCCUUACCAGCCGAAUCUGGAGGAUGAAUACUACUAACAGAAACAGAUCCUGAUGGAAGGAAAUCAAGCUGAUCUUCCCUGCAUAGACGACCUAUAAAAAAAAAUUUAAAAACUGAAAAGAAAUUAUCUUUACUUUGUUUGUUUCCUUUUGCCCACAUUUUUGCAGAUUUCUCAGUAUUUUAUUUAGUGCAUGUUCAAUUAACUUCCUUCUCAAACUUCAGAGAGGGUGGGGCUUUGCUGUGUCUUGUUGUUAUCAGGUAGCAUUUUCCCUGUCAUAUCUGUUUCAUAAAUUGUAGGCAAAACAUAACGGCUGAAGUUGCGGGACAGUAAGUUAAAGCUGCAGCAGCUUGGGAAUGACAUGUUGAGUCUAGUUCUUCCUUGUUCAGUAGUCUGAUAAUGGAAACGGAUAUGUAUGUUCGACUGUUAAAACACAGUAAAUUAAAAUGUAGACUGUCACAUAAGCUAAUAAUAUUUAAGUUGAUUUAAUUAUAUUGUCAUCAAUUAUGCUGUGUUUGAUUUGAACCAGCAUUAGAAUUACAGAGGAAACAGGGGGGCUUAACUCCCCCCCAAAACAGACCUGAGCUCCCCUGAAAAAACUGAUAAACAACCAUUAGUUUUAAUUCCCUGUCCUGUCACCAGUAAUUAUAAAUGUGUGUGAGCAGCUCUGACUAUCUGCUAUCAAUAAUGUGUACGACUAAUGUGGACUUGUGCAGGGUGUUUUCAUACACCACGGAUCAUGAGCUGCUUUCAUGUGUGGUUCUGUUUGUGGAUUCUGCAGCUUCUCUAGAAUCACUGAUUCUUGUCAGAGCUCUCAGUCCAGCAGCCUCUCUCGUUAUUUCUGUCGUGCAUCGAAGAGAAGUAUCUGAAAAUCUGUUAUCAAACAAGAAACAGGCCUAACUUUCUCCAUUUUUCAUUGUAAUAUUUGGUUUGUCUCCUGAAGCUGUCCAGGUUGCUGUUUGUUCUGAUCCUCCUCCUUUUAAUGUUUGAAAAACCUUUUCCAAUUAAAGAGUCCAGACAUCUCCUGCAGCAGUUGUCUCUAAGAUAUCUGUGAUAUGAGCUCAAUCCUUCAAAAUGCUGAUAUAUCCAAUCACACAACUGUUAUAAUCAACCUUUUUAUACCGAUUUUGUUUGCCGUUGUCGUGAUUAUAAAAUAAUGAUUUGCAGCAGCACACGGUCAGAGUUUAACUUACUACUGUCGAGGUGAGAAUUAGUGAAGUAAACCAGUUAACCUAAAACUGCAACUCUCUGGAUUGUGGGAGGAAGCUGGAGUUCCCAGAGGAAACCCACAUCAAUCUCCACACAGACAGGCCCCGGCCGGUCGGCAAGUUUUUAACCCAGAACCUUCACCCUGCUGUGAAGCGACUUUAACUUCACACACCUGCUCGCUCGCCCGCUCAUACUUUUAUACCGACAAAAUAAUGACAGGACACUCUGACAUCUGCAUUAAAAUUUUUAAAUAAAGAAUAAUUCACACCUAAAAAAAUUCCAAAAUAAAGAGAAAUUUCACAUACUACAUGUUGAAUCAAUACAAUGUCAUAUUUAUAAUUACAGAUAUUAAAUUAUUUAUUUAUAUAUGGCAUGUCUGUACACCCUUUGUUUAGCCCCCAUACAUUUUCUCUCGUCCACCUGAUUGGCUCUCGAGAAAGGAAACUCAUAUAAAAGUCAGUGUUGAUAUCUUGAUGCGAUGGCUUCGAUUAGCAACAGCAGACAACUCUUUUGUUUUGUUUCAAGAUUGGAUUUUUUUUUUUGUUGUUUUUUUGUUUUUGUUUUUGAAAGGGACAAACAGUGGGGACUGGCGAGAUGACUGGAACUGACAAUUUCCACAUCCUCCAUUAAUUAAUCUUUCUUAUACAGACAUUUUAUCUUUUGUUAAUAUGGAUCACAUAAAAUAAUCUGUUACAAAUCAGUGUUAGUGAUAAAUGAUGUAGGAAGCACACUUUGUUUUUCACUGCAGAACAUCUGUGCUGUACCCGCGCUGGACCCGGGAUGAUUCAAAAUCAUACGGAAAUCCUUUGUUUUUCUGCUACGAUCACGUGGGGCCUCGUUCAGAACAUGUCUCCAUGACUUAAUGAACCACAGAGCGAUGAAUUGGAUGAAUUUGAUGCAACAUCUGUGAUGACUGGUCACAUCAAGGUCAUUAUAUUAUAUCACAAUUCAUCACAAGAGGUAAAACUGUUCACUCCUGAUGAAGUCAAUGCUUCAUCUGAAUGAUGCCUGGGCUGAAUAAAUAUUCAUGUGUGUGACUGUGCACAGCUUGUUUGCCUCUGUCUUUUUUUUAAUCCUUCCCGAAUUUCAGUAGGUCAGAAAUUGGGACUUGAAAGCUUCUGGUUUCAAGAGAGAGACUUGACUCCCAAGCUUCAUGCCUACAGCUCUACUGUCUAAAUAGCGAAGCUGGUUUGGUAACUGUUAGCUGGCAGCUAAGAUAGCGAGCUUAUUAAACAUGCCUAAUUUUCUAAAUGUAUUGUCCACAUUCCUGAAUAUGAAUAUCGUGGACUUUUUAAGAGAACUAGAUGCGUAUUAACGGAAUGGAAUUGGAUAUAUAUAUAUAUAUAUAUAUAUAUAUAUAUAAAAAUAUAUAUAUAAUAUGUGAAUUUUUACCUCCUACAUACUUGUAUCCCGUUGAUUAGAGAGUGUUCUUGGACUGAAUCUUUUUAACUUCUUACUCUUGGGACAGGGAAGAAGUUUCACUGUGCUCUGCAUGUUCUGAAACAAACAUGGCAGGAAAGAACAGGCCUUAAACAGCACAGGUACAACACACCACACGUACUGCAAUGGAAAAAAAAAAGAAAGCUCAACUUACAUCAAA